UACGUAGGGGGCUAGCGUUGUUCGGAUUUACUGGGCGUAAAGGGCGCGUAGGCGGUCGUGACAAGUCACUUGUGAAAUCUCCGGGCUUAACUCGGAACGGUCAAGUGAUACUGUCGGACUAGAGUACAGAAGGGGGCAACUGGAAUUCUCGGUGUAGCGGUGAAAUGCGUAGAUAUCGAGAGGAACACCUGGCGGCGAAGGCGGGUUGCUGGGCUGAUACUG
rnacentral:rRNA from 1 species